UGGCCAGGGUAAUGACCUCGGGUAUGGUAACAACGCGUUGAGUAUGAUCCUCCGGUCUUCGGGGGUGAAAUGGACAAUCUGCAGCCAAGUUCGUAGCCUCGGGGUGCCGAAUGCUGUUCACAGGCCAAAUGGUGGUGGGUCAACCUCUCGGGGUUGGCUUAAGAUAUGGUCGGGCCUCUGGGGAAACCCUGUG
rnacentral:ribozyme from 1 species